CAAAGGAUAGUUAAAUAUAAAAUAUUAAUUUUGGAGAUUAAAGUUGGGGGUAUACCUCUCCUUUGA
rnacentral:tRNA from 1 species